rnacentral:lncRNA from 1 species
GACUACAUAUCGUACGUUUUUCCAGAUUAAGUACUAGUACAAAAGAAUAAACUAUUACUUUUGAGCAAAAAGAUAACAGUUGGUUCUAAGGUUACAAACAACCCCCAAAACCCCUCAUUUGUACUAAGAUCAACUCAAUUGGAGGAAUCGUGUAGCCCUAAAAUUUUGGGCAGCAUGCCCUUUGUAUUUACCUAUUUUUCCCAACCACUUAUGACUUCAUUAUUUUCCUCAAUCAAUCCCAAAGUCAUACGCAAUAUAAAUUCAUCACAACAGCCGUUCAAUAGGCUCCAAGUCAUUCAAGUACAAAAUUUAGUUAGGAAAAAUGACCGGAAAUGAAAGUUAAGCCCUAAAACCCAGAAACAGUUUUGAUGUCAUUUAGCAUAUUGGACACAACCUGCGCUACGAUUAUCGGAUGGGUGUACGAUAUAUACCAUUUCGAAGCUAAAAGAAAGGGCUACAAUGUUGAAGAAGGCCACUCAGUCCAGUUUACAAUGUAUCUAGGUCAAAUUUAUCAAAACACCCCC